UACAUGGGGUGCAAACGUUGCUCGGAAUCAUUGGGCGUAAAGCGCGCGUAGGCGGUUACUUAAGUUGGAUGUGAAAGCCCUCGGCUUAACUGAGGAAGUGCAUCCAAAACUGAGUAGCUAGAGUACGAAAGAGGGUCGUGGAAUUCCUGGUGUAGCGGUGAAAUGCGCAGAUAUCAGGAGGAACACCAAUGGCGAAGGCAGCACUCUGGGACGUGACUGACGCUGAGACGCGAAAGCGUGGGGAGCAAACAGG
rnacentral:rRNA from 1 species